GAUAAAUGGUGUACUUAUAUGUGAGAAGUUUACUUAUGCUAUUAAAGAAUUUACGUAUAUCAUGGAUAAAUACAUUAAUUUGUGAAAUGAUAAUAUUGUUUAGGCUUAUGCUAAGCAUUUGGAAUAGAAGGGAAAGCAAGUAAAUAGAAUGAUUCAUAACCUUAUGAAAAGGUUGAUGGUUAUGUAUUAUGACUUAAAAAUCCCAAUAUGUUAUAUAUGAAAAGUAUAUGUGAUGUUGAUGAAUAUACUCAAAUGUGAGUUGAAUGGUGUUUAAUAGGUUUAUACCAAGUUUAAAGUGUUGGUGUUUAAUAUGAG
rnacentral:lncRNA from 1 species